CCCUCUUAUCCUAAAAUGAGAAGCUAAGUCACCAAAGCAAUACAUGGUAAGAGAUGGCAAACCUGGUUGGCCAGGUUCUGAGAAUACCCACCGCUGGCAAUUAAGGUGGGAGGAAGAUAUGAGGAAAUGCAUGGUGUGGUAUAUCCCUUUGUUUUCACACCUUCCCUCAUGGAGGAGGGGAGAGCUGUGUGUGCAACCUAAGCCCAGCUUUAAGUGAUGCAAGGAAAACACUAGUGCAGAUAAAUGCCUGUUCGUUCUGGUUUAGGCCUAUGGUGGUAAAGCAAAGAGGACGACACUCUACGGACAGAUUAUUUUUUUCUUUCUUCUCUCUUCUCUUUUCCUCUUCCUCUCCUCCUCCUCCUCCCCUCCUCCUUCCCUUUUCCCCUCCUUUUCCUCCUUCUUCUACUAAUCUUCCUCCUCCUUCUCCUUCUCCUUCUCUUCUUCUUCUUGAUGGAGUCUUGCUCUUCCAGAUGAGAUUAAAACAGUAAGAAUGCUAAUAGAUAAAUAAGACUAAAACAAGCAGCUUAAUAAUAAAUGGUGUCUCUAAGAUGGAUAUUCCUCCCAAAGCAAAAAAUAAAAAUA
rnacentral:lncRNA from 1 species